rnacentral:rRNA from 1 species
CCUACGGGAGGCAGCAGUGGGGAAUAUUGCGCAAUGGGCGAAAGCCUGACGCAGCGACGCCGCGUGAGGGAUGAAGGUCUUCGGAUCGUAAACCUCUGUCAGCAGGGAAGCACGGUCACUGUGCUAAUCAGCAGUGAAUUGACGGUACCUGCAACGGAAGCACCGGCUAACUCCGUGCCCGCAGCCGCGGUAAUGCGGAGGGUGCGAGCGUUAAUCGGAAUUACUGGGCGGAAAGGGCUCGUAGGCGGUAUGUCAAGUCAAGGGUGAAAUCCCCGCGCGCAACGUGGGAACUGCCUUUGCAACUGGCAAAGUGGAGUGUGUGAGAGGAUAGUGGAAUUCCAGGUGGAGGAGUGAAAUCCGUAGAUAUCGGGAGGAACAUCAGUGGCGAAGGCGACUAUCUGGCACAUAACUGACGCUGAGGAGCGAAAGCGUGGGUAGCAAACAGGAUUAGAUACCCCUGUAGUC